CCUGAUCUCCUACACAGACAUCACUAUUCAGCCUACUCUUCUGUCAGUCUUGACUCCUGUCUCUGGAGUUAUGUACAUCAUGGAGACAGCAACUACAUGAGCAAUAGUAACCGGUUUCCCUCCUUGUGGUCUUGGAGGGAAGUCAUGGACUCCACCAGCUCUGAACCUCUGAAAGGAUUACCGGAGUGUUUUGUACACUGGCUUAUGUCACUGAGUGUGUUUACUCUGCUGAUUGCAAAAGCUCUCCAGAGUAAGACAAGAGGCAAGAAAAGUCAAGUUCAAGUUUCUAUUUGCGGUCACUUCCUCCCCCCUCCCCCCCCCCUCGCAAGGAUUGAUGUAAUCCGGGCCAGGCCCCGCCCGCCGCCCCUGACUGUUUCAAACCAACUCAGUUCACCGGAUUGGUUCUGCUUCAAAACAAAGAGGAGGGGUAAUACUCGCGAUGGGCACACCAGUAGUUCACAGGCAGCAAGGCUGGUUUAUGGGUUCGGGGCUCGUGUCGGGGCCACUGUGGUGCCGUGGGCUGCUAAAACCAGCCCCCGGAGGGUG